rnacentral:tRNA from 1 species
GCCUGGAUGGCUCAGUCAGCUAAGUGUCUGACUUUGGCUCAGGUUGUGAUCUCAUGUUCGUGGGUUCAAGCCCCACGUCAGGCU